rnacentral:rRNA from 1 species
CCCUUAGAUGUUCUGGGCCGCACGCGCGCUACACUGACGAAUGCAACGAGCUUAUAACCUUGGCCGAAAGGUCUGGGUAAUCUCCAAAUUUCGUCGUGAUGGGGAUAGAUUAUUGCAAUUAUUAAUCUUCAACGAGGAGUGCCUAGUAAGCGCAAGUCAUCAGCUUGCGUUGAUUACGUCCCUGCCCUUUGUACACACCGCCCGUCGCUCCUACCGAUUGAAUGGUCCGGUGAAGCGCUCGGACCGCGGCCUCUUGACGGUUCGCUGUCGAUUGGCUGUGGGAAGUUCGUUAAACCUUAUCAUUUAGAGGAAGGAGAAGUCGUAACA